ACUGCAGCUGAGGCAGGCUCUGAAGGAGCUGAUAGCUUUAGAUUGUUUGCUAACUGCACUACCUGAAGUUGUACAGGAAGUCUUUCCUUGAAGACUGAGAGAUGCUUCUCCAAGAUUUUAUUAGAUAAAGGAUGUUAUGUCAAGAGAACUCCUAAGAUCUUGUUUGCAUCUGUGAAAUUCUGAACAAUUGAUAAGAUAAUAUUUCCAGAAGACAUCAAUGACAAUUUAGCUAAGAGAGGAAAGGCCAUGUAAGAACACAGCAAGAAAAUGGUCAAACUAGCAAGAGAGGCCUCACCAGAUACCAACACUGACAGCACUUUGAUCUUGGACUUCUAACCUCCAGAGCUAUUUUGGGCUGGGGCAUCAGCUUCUUCCUGCCUUCCAACUCCAACUGUGGCAUCAGCUCUUCUUGAAUCUCAAGACUGCCAGCCUUCAAACUGAAACUAUACAUUGACUCUCUUGGUUCUCAGGCCUUUGGACUCAGACUGGAACUGUAACUUGGCUUUCCUGGGUCUGCAGUUGAGCUUGCCAACCCAACCUAAAGGCUCAUAGGCAGAAGGAACUUGCUUGUCUCAGAUGAGACUUUGAACUUGGACUUCAAGUUAAUACUGGAAUGAAUUAACGCUCUGGAGAAUUGUUGGGAAGGUAUGAUUGUGUUUUGAAAUGUGAGAGGGACAUGAGACUUGGGAAGGUCUGUGGCAGAAUAAUAUGGUUUGUCUCCAUGUCCCCACUCAAAUCUCAUGUUGAAUUGUAAUUCCCAGUGUUUGAGGAGGGGCCCGGUGGGAUGUGAUUGAAUCAUGGGGGCAAACCUCCCCCUCGCUGUUCGCGUGAUAGAGUUCUCAUGAGAUCUGGUGGUUUGAAAAUGUGUAGCACCUCCCCGUUCUCUCUCUUCCUCCUGCUCUGACCAUGUGAAGACCAUGUCUGUUUCUUCUUCAACUUCCACCAUAAUUGUAAGUUUCCUGAGGCCUCCCCAGAAGCAGAAACCUGUACAGCCCACAGAACGUGAGCUGAUUAAACCUCUUUUCUUUAUAAAUUACCCAGGCUUAGUUAUGUCUUUACUGCAGUGUGGGAAUGGACUAAUACAGCAUGCAUAUGAAUAGUUUCCAAAAUUCCUCUUGUUAUUGAUUUCUAGUUUUAUUUCCUUGUGAUC
ensembl:lncRNA novel transcript